rnacentral:rRNA from 1 species
AUCUAAGCGGGAAACCCACCUCAAAACUAGUUCUUGCUAAGAGCCGUGGUAGACCACCACGUUGAUAGGCCGGGUGUGGAAGAGGCGUAAGCCUUGAAGCUAACCGGUACUAAUCGCUCAAAAGGCUUGAUUCGU